rnacentral:rRNA from 1 species
CCAUGGGUGGCGAGUGGCGGACGGGUGAGGAAUACAUCGGAAUCUACCUUUUCGUGGGGGAUAACGUAGGGAAACUUACGCUAAUACCGCAUACGACCUUAGGGUGAAAGCGGAGGACCUUCGGGCUUCGCGCGGAUAGAUGAGCCGAUGUCGGAUUAGCUAGUUGGCGGGGUAAAGGCCCACCAAGGCGACGAUCCGUAGCUGGUCUGAGAGGAUGAUCAGCCACACUGGAACUGAGACACGGUCCAGACUCCUACGGGAGGCAGCAGUGGGGAAUAUUGGACAAUGGGCGCAAGCCUGAUCCAGCCAUGCCGCGUGGGUGAAGAAGGCCUUCGGGUUGUAAAGCCCUUUUGUUGGGAAAGAAAAGCAGUCGGUUAAUACCCGAUUGUUCUGACGGUACCCAAAGAAUAAGCACCGGCUAACUUCGUGCCAGCAGCCGCGGUAAUACGAAGGGUGCAAGCGUUACUCGGAAUUACUGGGCGUAAAGCGUGCGUAGGUGGUUGUUUAAGUCCGUUGUGAAAGCCCUGGGCUCAACCUGGGAAUUGCAGUGGAUACUGGGCAACUAGAGUGUGGUAGAGGAUGGCGGAAUUCCCGGUGUAG